AACAGAUAGAAAGAAGAAGGGAGCGGCACAGUAGACAAAAUGUCAGAUUUAUGUGUUGCACUGGAGCACGAUUUGUAACCAGAAGAGCCUAACUGAUUACAGACAUUGAUAUUUACAGUAUUUAGAAAAAGUUAUUUGGUUAAAACAUGGUUUAAAUGGUAUAUGUUUUGUAAUAAGGGAAGGCUAGUUAGAGGCAUGUUUAUAAUUUGAGACAUGCAGGUUACAAUCAUCAAGAGGGUUAAUGGCCAUAUUAAGGUGCCUAGUUAUUACAGGGAUGAUCAUUUUGAGCUCCUACGAUAUACGUUAAACUAACUGCAUAGGGAAAGGGAUGAAUGCAUUUUCAGAUCUAGCUUUAAAUAUCUAUUUUCAUUU